GACGAACGCUGGCGGCGUGCUUAACACAUGCAAGUCGAACGGAAAGGCCCUGCUUUUGUGGGGUGCUCGAGUGGCGAACGGGUGAGGAACACGUGAGUAACCUGCCCUUGACUUUGGGAGAACUUCAGGAAACUGGGGCUAAUACCGGAUAGGAGACCCUGCUCCAGGGUGGGGGGUGGAAAGUCUCGGCGGUUGGGGAUGGACGGGCGGCUGAUCAGCUUGUUGGUGGGGGAGUUGUUUACCAAGGCUUUGACGGGUAGCCCGCCGGAGAGGGGGGCCGGGCACCAUGGGCCUGCGGGACGGCCCAGUCGCCUACGGGGGACAGUAGUCGGGAAUCUUGCCCAAUGGGCCCGAGUCUGUUACAGCAACCCCGGGGUUGGGAAGCCCGUCUUUUGGGUGAAAACCGCAUUCGGCUGUUACGAAGCUGUACUGACGGUAAUCAGAAAAUAAGCACCGGCUAACUUCGUG
rnacentral:rRNA from 1 species